AUUGAACGCUGGCGGCAGGCUUAACACAUGCAAGUCGAGCGGUAACACUUCGGGUGACGAGCGGCGGACGGGUGAGUAAUACAUAGGAAUCUGCCUAGUAGUGGGGGAUAACGUAGGGAAACUUACGCUAAUACCGCAUACAUCCUACGGGGGAAAGCAGGGGAUCUUCGGACCUUGCGCUAUUAGAUGAGCCUAUGUCGGAUUAGCUAGUUGGUGAGGUAAGAGCUCACCAAGGCGAAGACGGGUAGCUGGUCUGAGAGGAUGAUCAGCCACACUGGAACUGAGACACGGUCCAGACUCCUACGGGAGGCAGCAGUGGGGAAUAUUGCGCAAUGGGCGAAAGCCUGACGCAGCCACGCCGCGUGAGCGAUGAAGGCCUUCGGGUCGUAAGACGUCUGUGGGAGGAGAAGAA
rnacentral:rRNA from 1 species